CAUCUUUGUAGGCCCUAUGAUCUGCUCUCGUCUGUCUCCUCGUGUGGAAAAACGUUUCUCCCAGCUGCUGUUCCCCGUGACGACGCGGACGCUGAUUUAAGGCUGCGGAACUUCUUCCAGGCGGUGGGAACCAUCGUGUAGGAACCGUGUUUCUGUCGAUAAGCUAGCGGGACACCGUACGCACUCCCCCUCUACAAGUCCCCAUUCGCACGGUCUCUUCGUCCGGUGUUGACGACGCAGAUCCCGGGAACAAAGGAACCGUGAGGCCGACGCACACCUGUCAGCUCAGCCCGGAGAAGAACCACGUUUAUGCCAGUUUUUAAAAUUACUCUCAUCCGCAGGUCGUAUAGUUGCGGUAGUUUGACGGUGAGAAAUAUUCGCUGCGAACAAAACAAACCCCGCUGGCCUGACUCAUUCAGACCCGUUAGCAGCAUCGGCUAAGGCUAGCCGCGAGCUAACUGCUAACGUUAGCACAGCGUUGUUUUGGUAGCGAGAAGUUUUUUGUUUGUGGACGAAAAAUGGCGGAAGUCUACAUUCGCGUUGCGGAGGAGGAGAAUGAGGAGCCCAUGGAGAUCCCGUCCGAGGACGACGGCACCGUGCUGCUCUCCACCGUGGCGGCGCAGUUCCCCGGGGCGUGCGGCCUGCGGUUCCGGAGCCCCGUGUCCCAGUGCAUGCGGGGGGUGCGCCUGGUGGAGGGGAUCCUGCACGCUCCGGAGAACGGAUGGGGCAACGUCGUGUACGUGGUCAACUAUCCCAAAGACAACAAAAGAAAGAUGGAGGAAAUAGAUGCCUCCUCUGCUGUGAAAAUGAAGCGAGGCGAUAUGAAGACGUCUGACCUGAUUGUUCUGGGUUUACCUUGGAAAACAUCCGAGCAGGACCUGAAAGACUACUUCAGUACGUUUGGGGAAGUCAUCAUGGUUCAGGUAAAACGAGAUGCCAAGACAGGAAACUCUAAAGGAUUCGGCUUUGUGAGGUUCACAGAGUACGAGUCUCAGGAGAAGGUGAUCUCCCAGCGCCACAUGAUCGACGGCAGAUGGUGCGACUGCAAGCUUCCUAACUCGAAGGUAGAUCUGGGUCCGGAUGAGCCACUGAGGAGUCGCAAAGUUUUUGUAGGCCGUUGCACAGAAGAUAUGACCACAGACGACCUGCGGCAGUUCUUCAUGCAGUACGGAGAAGUGACAGAUGUCUUCAUUCCCAAGCCAUUCCGUGCUUUUGCUUUUGUGACAUUUGCAGAUGAUCAGGUUGCCCAGUCUCUCUGUGGAGAGGACCUAAUAAUUAAAGGUGUCAGUGUUCACAUCUCAAACGCUGAGCCCAAACACGGCAAUCGGCAGUUUGACCGCACAACACGGUUUGGUAAUGGUUUCGGAGCACAGGCAUUCGGUAGCAGCGGCCGCAGUGGGUUAGGGAGCAGCACUAACAGUAGUCUGGCUAAUUUUGGUUCUUUCAGCCUGAACCCAGCCAUGAUGGCGGCCGCUCAGGCUGCUCUACAGAGUAGUUGGGGGAUGAUGGGUAUGCUAGCUAGCCAGCAGCAGACGUCCACCUCAGGCAGCACCUCAGGCAGUGGGACCAGCUCUAGCAGGGACCAGAGUCAGUCUUUCAGUACAGGAGGAGGAGGCAACAGCAACUAUGGCACCAGCUCGGCCAGUCUUGGGUGGGGAACAGGGUCAAACUCGACAACCAGUGGUAGUGGCUUUAGCUCAGGUUUUGGGUCCAGUAUGGAGUCAAAGUCAUCUGGGUGGGGGAUGUAAGUUAAGUGUUUGUAUGGUAAGUAUUGUGAGAAAGAUGAGUCUUUUCAACAAAAAAAGUUUUUUUCUGGUGUUAAAGCGUAUCUGAAAACUUAACACUUUUGUGGAAGAUGUUUUGUACAUUUGGAAAAAUGCUAAAGAUUUAAUUUAGAAAGUGUUGAAGUGAAUUGUUUACCAGGAUGUCCGACUAAAGUGCUAUUUUUGAUGUCUUGUUUGUAUCCAUUUCAACUGGAUUCUCUAAUGCAUGCAUUGUGAAAUGUGAUUAUACCCAUUUUGAAAAUGCAUGAAUGUCUCUGAUACACCAUUAUCAGGCUUCGUCACCAACUUUAAAAAGGCAAUCUUGCAUUGGGAAGAAUCUGGUUGAAACCUAUAUGUUUUUUUAAGUGCAACUUUAUUUGCAGUCAAGUUCUAUGGAAAAGCCUUCAUUGAAAUCUCUUCUGCAGUUCACCUCUCUUCCAUUUUCCUGUGAGGAAGCUCCUCUUUGGGGUGAUAUCGGUAUCAUUCUCCCUCUUCCCACCUGUAAAUGCUAUGCCAUCAAAGAACGGCUUCACUCCGCAUGUUCUGAGAGACGGGACCUUGGGCUCUGCUGGUCGAGGUCUCCGUUUGAACCCUGACUGAAGUCUGUUCUGAAGGAUGAAGACGGAAGUUCCAACACUUUCAGUGUGUGGCCUUCUCAAACAUGACAUGGGGUAGUACCUGUCUUUUUGCUGAUUUCACUGGCUUGUCAGAUUGAACCUUUCUUAUUCAGUUGCAUUGCAGGUAAGACGGAAGUUCUUUAGAUAGCCUUGAGCAUUCUGGGUAGUUUGCCUGACGAUCUUAACAGUGUCAUGGAUUCCAAGUGUAAAACGGCAUGAAAAUGACAGUAACACGGAGAAAUAUGCUAGAUUGGUCAGUAAGCACUUUACACCAUUUUAAAUAAAAGACAAUGAAGUCCUCAUUUUAUUACAAGUGUUAUUUUAUUGUUGUGACAGAACAGUGCAAAAUGAAGGACAACUCGACAUGACAUUGUGUUAGGUCCCUGAACAGUGUUAGAAAAGAUAGUUUAAUGUACAGUGACAUUGGAGAACUGCUGUAGCUGAUUCUAGCACUUUAGUUGACGCUUAACUUUCUGUGAUGUACUAGUCAGCCUUUAUGUAUAUUUGAAUGUUGGACACACAAGUGAGAUGCUGCAGGCCUGCAUGUGUCCUGUCCUUAUUCUCUGCUUUCCUCCUCCGUGUCUCUGCUCUUCCUCUUCCCAGUAUUCUUCUUUUUUAAUUCCCUCUGCUGGUUCAGUUCUUCGCUUUUAUUUUGUAUGUAGAUCGACUGAAAUGAAUAAAGGCAAAUUAAACAUUGA